rnacentral:ncRNA from 1 species
CGAAAGGGCAAACCCAUCGAAAGGUGGGGGCGCAAAGCCACGGGUCUAAAGCCUACCAGGGCCAUGACAGCCAGGCUGCCGAA